UCCUGUCUUCUUCAUUUAGAUCCAUGUCCUUUUUUCAUUUCAUGUAUUUUAAAGCAAGUCCCAAGAGCUCGUUCUCGAGAGAGCUCCAAACAGAACAGACCAGAUUUAAAGCACUCAGUGGAAAUGGAAAACCACACUUUAAUAACAGACUGGUAUCAGCCCCUCUUUUGAGUCCUUGAAAUUCCGUGUUGGCCCCAGGCCAGCGGCCCUUUGGCCCGCGGGAUCCCUUCCCUCGGGAGCCGCAGUGGUUUCCCCGUUGAGUCGCGUGGCUCAAGGUCGACGUUUUUCAGGUGAGCAGCAGCUGCUCUCGGGUACACAGCAGAACACUGAAUUCCUUUUUGGAAAGGGGUUCCUUUUUCAUCCAGCCCCCCAGGUGCAUGCACUGAAACUGGGCUUUUUAACAGGUGUAUUUCCCUGAUUUCCCGCUGUAUCCCAUAUGUGCACUUUGGGUUUGUAGCAGUGACGAGGUUUGGUGAAGAGCUGAGGACUUUGUUGCAAACCAGGAAUGUCUUGUGCUCACUCUGGUGUGCAGGAAACAAGGAGGUGCUUUAAGGAGAACUUGAGUUAUAUUGUAGGGUUUUGGUUUUACUGCCUUUUUUGUUUUGUUUUGUUUUUUGGGUUUUUUUUCCCAAGAGUUGCAGGUUCAGUGGGGUCUGGUUCCACAGUGCAAACUGAGCAAGGAAGUGCUUCUCUCCAGAGAUGCUUUUCAUUCUGUGAUAAUUUAAUUACAUAAAAGUUCUCAUUAACAUUUUACCUCUUUGUUAAUAGCAAGGAGCUGCUGUCUGCUAGGGACUUUUCAGGUACAGUGUGCAGUGGGCAUUACAUGAGGUUUAUCACGGGCACCUGGAGUAAAGUGGUUUUAGCAUCUUGGAGAAAUACUAAAAAAAUCCUCCAAGACACUGAGGUUUGAGCUCCUGUUCUUGUGAUUCAAAGAUGAAAUGGUUUGCAGGUUGUUUGUUUUUUGUUUUUUUUUUUUCAAAGAACAUAGUUAAUUUUUUCUUAUUUUUCCCCAAUUAUUGGGCACUUUUCUCCAGCUGUUUUAGCCACCUUGGUAAUUCAGGCAUUUAGGAGGCAAGAAGGGAUCUCAAUCCCUGAUGGGAUCUAAUUCCAUGAUACUCUGUUUACCAACAAAAAGGAUGUUGCAGCAGCUUCUAAAACUGAAGUGUAAAUCUCACUGUAUCUCUUUACAGGCCCCAAAAUUGUAAUCUUGCACUUAAACCCAGAAUGUAAUCUUGCACUUAGCCACGUUUUCAGGGAUUUGGGCAACGGAGAAGAGAUGCUGCCUGACUAGGUCCAUGCUCCAAUAGAUUCCGUGGAUAAUUGAUACAGGCAUGGGUUGAUUUCUGUUACAACUUGCAUGGCAAAAAUCAAAUUCAAGGUGUGAAAUAGGAUGCGAAUAGGAGAUGAAGGAGGAAAUGUUUUGAAUGUAUUUCAUGGGUGUAACUGAACUUGCUUGAGUUUCUGUCACAAAAAUAGGAAUUUUUAUUACUGAACCACUUGUCAGAGAGGGCUGUGGUUUAAGAGGGCUUUGAUUCCUUUAUCUGCCCAGAAUGAGUGGACCCAGAAUCCCGAACAUCGUGGUGAACUGAGAAUUCCCAUGUGGCAGCAUCUCUUAAACACAGUUUUUGUAGUUACUUUUCUUUCUAAAUGAAAAGGUGAAAGCCUCAUUUAAUGCUCUUAAAUUUGAGAGUAAAACCCAGGAUUUCUGGGUUGUCCUUCAAUGUGAAUGUAAGAAAUGGCAGAAUUCAGCUGUUCAGCUUACUAUUAACAAUGAGAAUUUUUGGGAAUGGCACCAGAAAUGCAAAUCACUGUGUUUAAGAAGCUACAGUGUGUUUACCACUUACUGCAAAGAAUGUUUUAAUUGGAGCAGGUGCCUGUUGUGUGUCAGCAGGUGAUCAAUGCUUGCAUUCAGAGGGAGUUUUCUCAUUUCAUCUGAACAGAAAUCACUUGCAAGAGUUUUCCAGGAAAGAGACUUGAAUAGCUGGGAAUUUAAAUCUGCCCAAAACCGGGAAAAAAAAAAAGCACUGAAGUUUGUGUUGGACACUUAAAGUCACUGAGAGCAGCAUUUGUUCCGCUGAUCCACAGCAGGCACCUGCUAAAAAUCCCAUAAAACUUGGGGUCAGCAUAGCUUGUGAAAGCCAGCUUGGUUUGGGAAGCUUUUUGGGAAGAGCAUGCUAGGUGCACUUCCACUUUUCCUUGGAAAAUCACCAUGGUUCCACCUGCCACUGCCUGUUGUGCUGUGCUGGAGGGCGAGAAGGAACAGGUGAGGCUGUGUUUGACUCCAGGUUUUCUGGUUCCUUAUUUAAUGGAGCACCUGCUUCUUUGAAUCUGGUUUAUUUGUGGUUGCUGCUCUGUUUUGUAAGCAAGGAUUUUAACACCCUUUGAGGGUUCUUGUGGCAAAACUUUGGCAGCUUUUUCUUUUUGCCGGCACUGAAUUCCCGUGCUGCCAUCCCGGGUGCAGCCGGGCGGGCUGGGCUUUCCUCCUUGGUCUGAGGUGUUCCCCAUUGGAGUAACUGUCCACUGAAGUUGGCUUGGCCAGGGCUGAAGGUUUAGGAGCCUGUGGGUGAUACCACUGUGUGCAGAGCAAACCAGAUGUAGCAGUUGUUGGCUCUCUCCUUGUGUCUGGCAUUACAUUGCUCUGGUGAGAGCUCAGUAUUCCCUCCCGACCUCGUGUGCAGCUGAUGUUCUUCUAUUUCAUUGGCGUGUUGAAUUAGCCUGGAAAAAGGAUGCCCUUUUCCUCAAUCAUUUCAUCUUUAUGCUUCGUGCUCUGGGGAAAGAACCUCAAAUGACUCGUAGUUUUGUUUGAGAUUUUAGUUUGUUGUUUUUAUUUCUUUCAAUUGGAAACUUUGUGCAACUCCCUUGGCCUCUGGCCAGUGGCUUUGUUUGCUCCCACAGGAACACCGAGGUUAUCCUCAAUCCAGAGGUUUUAGGGGCACAAAUACCAACACAUCCUUGUCAGCCUCACAGAGAGAAAAGGGCAUUAUUCCCAGGCAAACCUUGCCCUCUCUCUCUUUUGUUUCCUAUAAAGAUGGAAUAUUUUGGUGACAACUUUCUUGGCCUCUGUGGAGAGCCAAGUUUUACGAAGAACGAGUUUUAAUUUCUCGUGUGAGUUUGGGAACCCUCUGGUUGAUGGUAACUGAGGUGAAAGGCCUGAGGUAUUAAUGGGGAGGAGGAGUGAAUCAAAAUUGUGAAGACAAGUUCAGAAACUCUGAGGACUCAGGGAAAAAUGGCUUGGAAAAUGGUAGUUCCUGGCUGUAAGCAAAACAGUGUUUGAGAGCAGCGCUCCUGGGGAGUGCUGUGUACCCAGAGGGGAAGAAAUGGUUGCCACAUGGCUCUAGAGCUUUUGAGGUUCUUUCCCUUUUGUCCCCUUGUUUAUUUCUCUAUAGCACCGAAGGACAGAUAAUCUAAUGAUCGAUAGACUGAACAAUGAGGUGAUUUUUGUAUCAGGCUUAAAGCAGACCGGGUGAUGCAGAGAAUGGUUCAUUGAAUAUUCAUCUUCCUGCAGUUCUGAUUGUGUGAAAACGAUGGCUAGGAGAUAUGACUUGAAUAGUAACAAUUCUAAAUUAUAUUGGGUGUGUCUUUGAUUUGACCUUUUAAUAUUGGCACUGUCUGCUGUUAGAACUGCACAGCAAAACGAGAGCAAAAGAGCUGUGUAACACUACAUUUCACGGUUUUAUUGAUGAGUUUCCUUCAGGAAAUACCCAGCGAGGAAAGUCAACCAAAUUAGCAAGAAUUGGGUUGGUUUUUCUCCUGGUUAAUGAUUUUGAUGUGUUACUGCAAGUUGAGUAAUCAUCAGUACUGUAAGCCUAGUUUAAUCCUGGUCCAAAAAAGCCCUGCACUACUUGUUUUGCAUCUAUCCCUAGAAGGCGACUUCAUUCCGAGGUUUCAUGCCCGUGGGUGGUUUUGGUGCUUUUUGAAGUCCAAAUAGAAUAUUCAGAAAAGCCUCAUAGCUCUUUACGUUCAUCUGUAUAAUGUAGGGAGGGGAGAAACCCAGAUCUGGUGUACACAUUUGUAUUGAAAUAACAUUUUUUUUUCCUCCUGCAAGCAAAUCUGGUGGACUGCAGAAGACAACCGCAAUGGAUACCAAGCUCUAAUGGACCUUUGGGAAGAGAAGCUGUGGCUUAUGUGGAAUUUACAUGGGCCUCCUGGUGGAAGAAAGCUUAUCUGUUUAGUAUUUGUGCAUUUUACUAAAAUGGCAGCUUUAAAAAAAAAAAAAAAAAGUUGUGUAUCUGCUAUUGUGAUGCCAAUGCCCGUGUUUUAAGUGGAAAAAAAAAAAAUGACCUCUUUGCUUUGUGCUGUGUACACAAGAUUGCUGGAAAAGUAAAGGAAUACCCUUUUUAUGGCUCACACAGCUUAAAAGUAGCUGUCACUCAAACAUGCGCUCACAGUUGAGCUGAUUUUGUUUCAUUCUAAAUAAAUUGUUUCUUUUGAGGAAAAUGGUUUUUCUGCCUGGAAGUGAAUUGACGACAAACGUUUGGCCCCUGUGUUGGCAGCGGAGGGGUUCCUGCUGCUGCUGCCCAAUUGAGCUGAUAGUUGUGGGUCUUGAGCAAGAAGCAGGGAGAGCACCGACACUUUGGCGUUGAUCGACCUGUGGUACCAGUCGGAAGAAUUGUGCCUGCUGGCCCUGCUGUGGCCCCCGUGUUUGCAGUGAAAAAGGGGUCACUUGCUGCGUUUCUCCUCAGCGGGACGGGGCAGCCGUGCUGCUGCUGGCACACAAGAAGCAGGGGAGCACCGCCCUGCGCCUCGGAACGGUGGCCAAGUCUGGGGCUUCGCUGGUUGGAAGAGCUGGAGUUCCUGAAUUUUAAGUUUCUGAUUUAUUUUGUUCACCCAACGUGUUUGCCUUUAGUUUUGAUUCUUGGUUUUUUUUUUUAAUUUUGAAGAAAAAAAGUUUUGAAAUUGCUUUGAAUCUUGCACGUAAAACCUUUGCACCAAAAUUGCCAAAAGAAAAAGAGAAAUGAGUCCUUAAAAGUGUUUAAAUGCUGUUAAUAAAGCCUUUCCUGCCGUACGCGAGGCGCUCCUCCAUCUCCAGGGGCUUUUCAGCAGUUGUGGGUUUAGUGCUGAAUGGAUGAAGAGUUCCUGAGAGCUGGAGGCGGUAAUUUAAACCUUUGCGUGGUGUCUCAGUGCCUUAUUUUGACCGGUUUUGAAGCCAGUGGUUCCACACGCCUCGGAUGUGCAUGUGCCCUGCUCGCGUCCCGGCCCCGCCGCGCGCUCCGUGCAGUCGCUCCCGGUGUAGUACAGACGGGGAGAGAAAAAGCCGGAGGCGGCCCGAAAACGUUGUGUGCUGUAGUUCUCCUGUCCCGGGGGCUCCUGAGCUUUGGAAGGCUGUUCCCGUGCAGGAGCACAACUCCGUGUUUGCUGCAGGAGACUUCCUGAGGACCGCGGCCGUCGAGAGGAAGCUGCCACCGCUGCAUCGCCGGCUUCGGGAGCUCCCGCGUUUGUGCUCGUGGUAGAAUUCUUGUGACGUGCCACGAAGACGCCUUGAACGGCAGCUUGCCCUGUUUGCCUUGACAUUAACUCCAUGGAUAACCCCCUGCAGCCGGGCAGGAUCUUUGCUAGGCUGCAGACGCCUCUCAGCCGACGGAUGCUGUGGUUGUGCUCUGCAAGGUGUCUGUUCCCGGGGCAAAGCGCUGUGUAAAUCCCUAAAACAGCACGAGCUGUGAGCAGAGAAGUGACCACCAGCCCUCACCCUGGGCCUGCUCUGUGGAAGGACAAAGGUUUGAAGAGUCUUCACCCCGCUCCCAGCCCACUGGCAGGAUGGUGCAGGGCUCCUGGGAGCAGUUUCUCAUUGUGGGCAUUGGUUUCCUCAACAAUUUUGGCUAGACAAGAGGUCCUCUGCACCUGUGCCUGGGAGGUGGAAUGGCCCCAGUGCAGCAUCCUUCCCUCAGAGAGGGGACCUGCAGCAACUGAUCCUCAUGGAAGCAUCACCCUGAUCUCCCUUCCUGCAGCAGCUGAUCCUCAUGGAAGCAUCACCCUGAUCUCCCUUCCUGCAGCAGCUGAUCCUCAUGGAAGCAUCACCCUGAUCUCCCUUCCUGGAGCAGCUGAUCCUCAUGGAAGCACCACCCUGACCCCCUGUCCCUGCCCUUGCAUCCCUCCCCGGGGCAGCUGUUUGUGUGUGAGUAGAAUGAGCUGAAAUCUCUGGCACUUGCAGCUCCCUGGCUGCUCAUCCCACGAG